GUCUGGCUAACUUGUUGUUUUUGUGUCCUGCAAUUUUUUUAAUUAUGAAUCGUGAGAAGAGAAAGAUCAUUUUUUGUGUAUCACAUUAAUUCGUGUUCAGUGGUUGACCAAUUAUUUUGUCUUUGUCAUAAAAAUAUAAUUAUUAAUUCAAAAUAUGUAAAUGAGAUCGGAAGAGAUAUUAAUGUGAUAAAUAAUCUAAGAUAUUGCAUACCGCAUAUACUCAUAGCUCCAUGAAAGAGAAGCUAUAUUAUUCUAAUGGCUAUAUAACAAAUGUUUUUUCGUUGUAUGUGCUAGUUAUAUGUCCUAUUUGUUAAGUAUGAAGUUUGCAAGAGAUUAAGGAAAAGAAAGAGUUGAUCUCAUCAUAUUUAAGUGGAAGAUGUUAGAUAUAGAUUAGUUCACUCAUGAUGGGUCAACCUAGUCCAAAUUCAUAUAAAUGGAUAUGGAUAAUACUGCACAAUAAUUAAGAUUAUCGUUUCUGUUAUUGAUAAGGACCAUAACAGUUAGAUAUUCUAUUUGUAACAAAAAAGAGAUACAAAAUCUUAUUGGUUGAGAAAAAAAAAACACUCAAUAGAGAAAAGUAGCGUGAUUUUUCUCUUGAUUUUCUCCCUGUGACUGUGGGUCAAGAAAAU
rnacentral:misc_RNA from 1 species